GAUGAACGCUGGCGGCGUGCCUAAUACAUGCAAGUAGAACGCUGAAGAGAGGAGCUCGCUCUUCUUGGAAGAGUUGCGAACGGGUGAGUAACGCGUAGGUAACCUGCCUUGUAGCGGGGGAUAACUAUUGGAAACGAUAGCUAAUACCGCAUAACAAUGGAUGACCCAUGUCAUUUAUUUGAAAGGGGCAACUGCUCCACUACAAGAUGGACCUGCGUUGUAUUAGCUAGUAGGUGAGGUAACGGCUCACCUAGGCGACGAUACAUAGCCGACCUGAGAGGGGGAUCGGCCACACUGGGACUGAGACACGGCCCAGGCUCCUCCGGGAGGCAGCAGUAGGGAAUCUUCGGCAAUGGGGGCAACCCUGACCGAGCAACGCCGCGUGAGUGAAGAAGGUUUUCGGAUCGUAAAGCUCUGUUGUAAGUCAAGAACGAGUGUGAGAGUGGAAAGUUCACACUGUGACGGUAGCUUACCAGAAAGGGACGGCUAACUACGUGCCAGCCGCCGCCGUAA
rnacentral:rRNA from 1 species